rnacentral:rRNA from 1 species
GGAUAGCCAUUGGAAACGAUGAUUAAAACCUGAUAACACCAUUUGGUUACAUGAGCAGAUGGUCAAAGAUUUAUCGGCAAAGGAUGGGCCUGCGUCUGAUUAGCUAGUUGGUAAGGUAACGGCUUACCAAGGCGACGAUCAGUAGCCGACCUGAGAGGGUGAACGGCCACAUUGGGACUGAGACACGGUCCAAACUCCUACGGGAGGCAGCAGUGGGGAAUAUUGCACAAUGGGCGAAAGCCUGAUGCAGCAACGCCGCGUGAAGGAAGGAGGCCUUCGGGUCGUAAACUUCUGUCCUUGGGGAAGAAGAACUGACGGUACCCAAGGAGGAAGCCCCGGCUAACUACGUGCCAGCAGCCGCGGUAAUACGUAGGGGGCAAGCGUUAUCCGGAAUUAUUGGGCGUAAAGAGUACGUAGGUGGCAACCUAAGCGCAGGGUUUAAGGCAAUGGCUCAACCAUUGUUCGCCCUGCGAACUGGGAUGCUUGAGUGCAGGAGAGGAAAGCGGAAUUCCUAGUGUAGCGGUGAAAUGCGUAGAUAUUAGGAGGAACACCAGUGGCGAAGGCGGCUUUCUGGACUGUAACUGACACUGAGGUACGAAAGCGUGGGGAGCAAACAGGAUUAGAUACCCUGGUAGUCCACGCCGUAAACG